rnacentral:tRNA from 2 species
GGGCGCUUAGCUCAGUUGGUAGAGCAGCUGACUCUUAAUCAGCGGGUCACAGGUUCGAGCCCUGUAGCGCCCACCA